ensembl:lncRNA
UUCGCAAAGUGCCACUGCGGCGGGAGAAAGCGGAGGUCCCAGAAUGUGGCGGCGCCCUGAGGCGCAUCCUGUUCUCAACUUCUGGGAAUUUACCCCACCCCCUUCCAAUUUACCCCAUUGGCUCUUAAUGUUAGAGAUUAGUCCUUAAAGGUACUGGUUGAGAGACUAUAUUGUAAUGAGCUUGGGGAAAGCAAAGAUAUAUUGUUUUUCUGCAUUCUCUCAGUCUUGUGUCCCCCUCAGUCUUGUGGCUAGCACAUGAUUCCACAUGUAACUGCUGGAUUUCUUACACUGUUUACAAUACAGCAAGGUUGCAGUUUUCUUGAUGGUAAGGGCCAUGUCUUAAAUUUAUUUACUUUAAAAAUUUUAUUAUUACUUUAUGUAUUUUUGGCUGUGGUGGGUCUUUGUUGCUGCGACUGGACUUUCUCUAGCUGUGGUACGCGGGGCUGCUCUGUCCUUGUGGUGCUCGGGCUUCUCAUUGCGCUAGCUUCUCUUGUUGUGGAGCUCGGGCUUGAGGCGUGGGCUUCAGAAGUUGCAUUGCCUGGGCUUAGUUGCUCCGUGGCAUCUGGAGUCUUCCCAAACCAGGGAUCAAAUCUGUUUACCCGGCAUUGGCAGGCAGAUUCUUAACCACUGGACCACAAGGCAAGUCCAAGAGCCAUGUCUUUGAUUAUUUAUUCAACUAACAUUAUUUGCGUGUAGGUACUAAAAACAUUGACAUGCGUUUAGCCCAAUUAAUCUUCUCCAUAAUCCCAGAAGAUAGAAACUGUUAUUCUCUGUGUUUUGUAGUUGAGGAAAGUAAGGCUGAAGUAACUUAAAAAUAAUUUACAAGUAAUUUAAAAAUAGUGGAACUCGGGCCUGGUGUAUCUAUUGUCUCCCAGUUGGAAUGUCUGGGAACUGAAGUCAUCCUUCUUGCUCUGAUCAGAGACCACUAAGGAGUAUAAUUUAUUGCCGGUGAAAGGGGAGGCAGGUGAGGCAGGGCGAUGUGGAGAGAAUGUGACAACAAACUUCAAAAUAUUUGACUUCCCCAGACUUCCCUGGUGGUCCAGUGGUUAAAGGGGACUUGGAUUCAAUCCCUGGUCAGGCAACCAAGAUCCCACGUGCUGCGGGGCAACUAAGCCCAUGCUCUGCAGCAAAGAGCCUGCAAAGCAAAAAAAGAAAAAAAAGAAAAAAAAAUUUUGGCUUCCCAGCCCAACCAAGGUCUCUGAACAGCACCAGGUUCCCUUAACCUUGACUGUAAACUUUCCAAAUCUGAACUUGCUAUUUGCAGGUAUCCUCUCCCAUUUCCCACAUUUUAUUAUUAAAUAGAGAACACUGGACUGGGAAUCAAGUUACACCUACACUCACUUUAGCAAUUAACUUGCUGAGUUACCUUAGACAAACAAUUAGACAUUUAAAAUGGAGGUGAAAAUAGUUGUUUUCUCCAGGGGGUGUUGAGACUGGAAGAAAAGUGGGCUUCCCAGGCGGUGCUAAUGGUAACCUGCCAAUGCAGACAUAAGAGACUUGGGUUCAGUCCCUGGACUGGGACGAUCCCCUGGAGGAAGGAAUGGCCACCCACUCCUGUGUUCUUGCCUAGAGGAUCCCAUGGACAAAGGAGUCUGGAGGUCCAUGGGGAGUCCAUGGGGUCGCAAAGAGCUGGACACGACUGAAGUGACUUACCAUGGUCUGAAGAUUGCUAAGUAAAUAAAUCUCUCACUAUGUAAAUACAAGGUAAUAUUUCAUAAUUUGUUGUCGUUUAGUCGCUAAGUCGUGUCUGACUCUUUAGCGACCCCAUGGACUGUAGCCUGCCAGGUUCCUCUGUCCAUAGAAUUUUCCAGCAAGAACCUACUUCAGGGGAUCUUCCUGAGUCAGGGAUCGAACCCGUUAUCUCCUGCAGUGGCAGGCAUUAGCAGGCGGAUUUUUUUUACCGCUGAGCCACCAGGGAAAUGAUGCAGGGUUGAAUUACUUUACUUCUGAGCAUCAGUUUUCCAUCUGUAAGAUGAAGAUACUGUAUACCUUACAGAGUUGUUGGGAGGGUUAGAGAUGGUGUAUGUUAAGCCCAAUGCCAAACACGUGGAAGGAAUCUAGGAAUGGUAACUAUUAUUAAUAAUAACCUGACAACCUGGUUUGAUACUCUUAUUACCACAUUUGGCAGAACAACAAACAAACAGUACUUACACACACAAAAAGCAUCAACCACCACCAUCCACUACCCAACCAGCAUGGUCCGCUGAACUCCCCUAAAGGUGACCGAUGGCUCCCCAGGGGUGCUUGAAGCCCACCAAAGGCUGUGGCAAACUGGAGGUGCAGCCAGAUGGAAUUCUGUUCCUCCUUUGAGGCUGGGAGUGCUUUCAAUGCAGGAUGAUGGCUUGGUGCAAAGACUCACUGGGAAAUAGCUUUGACUGCCAAGUGACAGGGGUGAGCCAAACGAGAUGGUAGCAGGUAGGGGCUGAGAGCAGCUGGGAGACGAUGGUCUUAACUCUGCUACCGAAUCACUUUAUUCCUCCUUUUCUCCACUUGAGAGGCCUCCAGGCCAUCAGGGCUGCCCACCC